GUGCCUACGGGAGGCAGCAGUGAGGAAUAUUGGUCAAUGGGCGGGAGCCUGAACCAGCCAAGCCGCGUAAAGGAAGAAGGCGCGAGGCGUCGUAAACUUCUUUUGUCGGGGAACAAAGGGCGCCACGCGUGGCGUUGUGAGUGUACCCGAAGAAAAAGCAUCGGCUAACUCCGUGCCAGCAGCCGCGGUAAUACGGAGGAUGCGAGCGUUAUCCGGAUUUAUUGGGUUUAAAGGGUGCGUAGGCGGUCCGGAAAGUCAGCGGUAACAAUUCGGGGCUCAACCCCGUCCGGCCGUUGCAACUGGGG
rnacentral:rRNA from 1 species